AAUCUUUGUAAGUGACUCAUACUUUGGUUUGACUUUGGGUUUGAUGGUAUGAACUUGAACAGAUCGACCAAAUUGUUAGGCCUUACCACCUGGCCAUCCUUAUCCUCUUCAUCCUUGUCACGUCUGAAGUCAUAUCCUCAAAAUGCCUCAAUUUUUGACUUUGCUGGGCUUCUAAGAUAAUGAUAAAAUUUAUUACGAUGUUGAAUAUGUGAAUCCGACUCAUUUAACUGAAGUGCAAUUUUGAAGCAAGCAGAGAUGAUUGACUUAAUUUUUCAAAGU
rnacentral:lncRNA from 1 species